GCAACCCGGUGGGCUGUGGUAGAGUUGGCUGUGGCGGUGGUAGGGUUUGUUGUGCUGGAGUUGGUAGAGAAGGAAGCGGUGGCAUAAUGGUUUUGGGCAGAGGUGGGACUGUUAAAGCUGGAGGUGUUGACUGGAGAAGGUGUCGAUGAGCAGAUAGGCCAGUGAAGAAGCUUGUGAAUGCAAGUGCAGUGACUAGAAAUCUUACAAAGGAGUUCGUGAGAGGAGCCAUGGUGCUAUUACUGCUGUAUUGUGCUUUGACUAGUUCUUGUUGGUUUAAGUGAGGAAGAGACAUGUGCUGGAAACCUCUAUUUAUAAAAACGAUUUUCAUCAAAGUCUGGUGAGAAGUAGGUGGAGAAAGUUUGAAGAGUUAUUUGUUGGGUCAACUUACUAAACCAAAUCUUUGUUUCCCAGAAGAAAGCUAUUUACUAGAAGCAACCAUGGGACUUCAUCAAAAAGGACCAAUUGGGUAAGAAAAAGAUGGCUAAAAUAGUCGGCUGAUUCAUAUUUUGAUAUAUCAUUCAUACCACACUAUCUUUGAAGAUAAUUAUGGUUUAUUUGCAGAUAUCUGAAUGCAAUACCAAGAAAGAGUUGCACCACUUUGAUUCAUAUAGACAUUGUAAGUAUACAUAACACCUGGGGUUUUAUACCUUUACAUCUAACUUCUCUAAUGGACUAGGAGAAACAGAGAUGUACAAGUAUAUAAACACAACCUCACUGCUGCUGGUUCAACAACGAUCCUUCAUUGAUGUUGUUCUUUUGCCUCUGAUGAAAUUUUACCAUUCACUACAGGUUUCAACGAUUUCUUGAGCUUAACCAAUCCUUCAUUUCCAUUUACACCUUGAACAAACAAGGCACACUUGGUUCUUCCACCUACUGUCAUGAUCUC
rnacentral:lncRNA from 1 species